GCUUAAUCUAACUCAGUGAUUUUGUGAGUUGCUGCAAACAAGGAGGUCCCCUGCCUCUCUGAGCCCUGUCAGCUCCUUCUCCUCUCAGCAGUCUGUUUCAGCUGGAAGAGUACCCGAGUAGCUUUAAACCACCUGGAAUCUGUGCCUGAAAAACUGAGCCUGUUGGAAGAUUGCAAAGAUACUGCAGAGUCCCAUUGCCGAAGGGAGAUGAUUGAGGAGAGGUAUUUGAAGUAUAAAGAGAUAGUGAGUUCUUUGCAGCAACAGCUGGAGGAUUCAAAACGAAGAGUCAGGCAAGUCAAGGAUGUGAAAAGGAAUGCUGAAAUUUCUGAUACAGAAGUGGCUGCUCACUCUUCUAGUUGGCGAACUCAAAACAGUAUUUUGUGCAGCUCACUGCUUUCAAGUUCAGGUUGUAAGUAUUAUAUCACAGAAAAAAAAUCUACAGGUAACAUAUCUUUUUCUUUUAAAAUCUUUUUUUACUUGGAAGAGUGAGACUACUUUUCAGAAAAGAACUGCUA
rnacentral:lncRNA from 1 species